rnacentral:rRNA from 1 species
AUUGGAGGGCAAGUCUGGUGCCAGCAGCCGCGGUAAUUCCAGCUCCAAUAGCGUACACUAAAGUUGUUGCAGUUAAAAAGCUCGUAGUCUAAUGUAUGGGAGCUGCGGGGUGGGUGUUUUGCUGGUUUUGCCGGUAAGACAAUACUCGCUCCGCUUCCCGCUAUUUUUGCUCUCUUUUGAAAGCAAAUGUUUCACUGUAAGUAAAACAACUCGCUCAACAGCAAGGUUAUCUUGAUAUGAAUUAGUAUGGGAUGAUGAGAUAGGCUCGGUCCGUAUUUUGUUGGUUUUAGUGGUCUGAGAAUGAUGAAGAGGGACAAUUGGGGGUAUUCGUAUUUACAUGUCAGAGGUGGAAUUCUUGGAUUUUGGAAAGACGAACUAAUGCGAAAGCAUCUACCAAAGAUGUUUUCAUUGAUCAAGAACGAAAGUUUGGGGAUCGAAGAUGAUUAGAUAC